UACGUAGGGUGCGAGCGUUGUCCGGAAUUAUUGGGCGUAAAGAGCUCGUAGGCGGCUUGUCGCGUCGGAUGUGAAAGCCCGGGGCUUAACUCCGGGUCUGCAUUCGAUACGGGCAGGCUAGAGUUCGGUAGGGGAGAUCGGAAUUCCUGGUGUAGCGGUGAAAUGCGCAGAUAUCAGGAGGAACACCGGUGGCGAAGGCGGUUCUCUGGGAAUGUCCUGACGCUGAGGAGCGAAAGUGUGGGGAGCGAACAGG
rnacentral:rRNA from 1 species